ACAAGAGUAUCCAUGACCUUCCUGAAACAGUCGCUCUCUUCUGUGUUUGUUAGCCACUGAUAUUAUCAGCAUCCCCCGAGGGAACAGAAAUAUUUCCUUAAGCAUGAAGCAACCUACUGCCAUGUCCCUGAGGAAUGUGGCAAAACAGCUUCCAAGGCAGGGUGAGGUCUUCCUUCUUGGUUCAGUAUUCUUCUCCAUCUAAUCCUAUGUCCCAUUAGGUUUGCAAUAAAGGAGAAAUUGUGCAAAAAGAACAAAAAUCGAAUUCUGAUGCGAAAGAUACAAGGCCAAAUGACUCUGAUGAUUGUAUAUUUGAUUUUUUCAGAACACAGUUCCCUACUCAAACUUUGAGGUUACAUAGCAGUUGUUUGAAGAUAUGGGAAGACCAGAGAAGUUUUCUCAAAAAAGUGAAAAUGCCUAGACAGACUCCUUCUUGGCUUUUGAAAAGAUAUUUGAGCUCCCGCUGUGCGAAUCAGAGGCUUAACAAAGACCAACAAAGACAAUUAUCAGGAACCAGUGAGAAGCCACGCCAGGAUAUAAAUCAGCCCAAGAGCAGUGAUUUGUAUGGAAACUGUUUCAAAGUGACAGCCUUAAAGUGCCCUGUGCGCAAACAAAAUCCCAGUUGGAAUGAGAAGAAAAAGAUACCAACAGAAGAUUCACAUCAGGACUUGAAAAGCAAAAUGAAAGAAUGUGCAUCUUUCCAAAGUAAGAAGACUGAUGUAAAUUGGACAGAUGAUGAAAAAAGAAUCUACAGGGAUACAAAAAUAGCUCAAACGCAAGAAAUAUUGCAGUAUUUGUUCCCUAUCAUGGAAAGUACUAAAAAAGCACAAACGACUCAGAUAAAACAGAAACUGAAUCCAAAAAUCAACUUCCAAAACAAGUAUCGACAAAAGUCAGCUACUAAUACAAAUACAAAGAAAUACUGCACAUCUUGGACAAUGCCCAGAAAUCCCCCUUUUAUAGACCAAGGGAAUCUUAUAGUAAGUUCUACAGAAUGGCUCAAGUCUGAGUCCCAGAGGUCAUUUGAAAGUCUGGCACCUUUCAAAGAGCACAAGAAAAGGAAAACACACCCUCAAAUCAAGUCCAGAAAGACUAAGUGUAUGCAACCUUUUAUCAGCAAAUGGGAGGCUGAGCCUGUGGAUAUUGUCAAAGGCAAGAGUCUGCAAACCGAAGAAUCCAGGCAACAAAGCUCUCUGCAUAUAUCCCCCAUCUAACUACAAGUAAGGAUGGUAGACAACCCACUUUCCAUUUAAAGUUCCCAAAGGACAAAUAAUCUGGCUUUAUGCUGUUUUGAAAACUGUGAAUGAAAGAUAACAUAUGCUUAUGUAGUAAAAAGAACAAGAAAAGCACUUCCUGCCCCUCGGUCCCCAUCCCACAUACACGUAUGCAUAUGCUAAGCUGUAAACCCUAGAGACCCCAUCCUUAGAGGGGCCAUGUUUCACAGAUUUCAAAAGAAAUCCAGAGAAAAUUUAAAAACAUGUCGGUAUCAAUAUUUCAUUUUUGUCAGGACAAGAAAAAAAUCUAUGAACUUUUUAUUGCUUCCAAAAUGAUGGAUGUAUGCAGCGUAUACACACAAAACAUCCUAUGAACUCGAGGAAAGAGUGACAUGUACUGUCUCUUGAGUUUUACCUUUCUUCCUAGUAAACACUUGAAUAAUGAAUCAUUCAGCAAAUAUCAUUUCCUGAAUUUCUGUUACAUCUUUGGUGUGCUAGAAACCGUUGGUAAUAUAAAAGCUAUUUCUUCACUCGAGAUUGCUGUAUAAUUACACCUAUAAAAAUACCGUGACUAACAUAGCUACAGAGUACGAGUGCAUAGUAAAUGGCUAAGUUGUAGACCUCCCAC